CCAAUAGCGUAUAUUAAAGUUGUUGCAGUUAAAAAGCUCGUAGUUGAAUUUCGGGACCAAUUUGUUGGUCGUGCCUCGGUACGUACUGGUAUUAUUGGUUUCUCCCUUCUGAAGAACCUCGAUGCCAUUAAUUUGGUGUCGUGGGGAAUCAGGACUGUUACUUUGAAAAAAUUAGAGUGUUUAAAGCAAGCAUACGCUUGAAUACAUUAGCAUGGAAUAAUGAAAUAGGACGUUUGAUUCUAUUUUGUUGGUUUCUAGGAUCGACGUAAUGAUUAAUAGGGAUAGUUGGGGGCAUUAGUAUUCAAUUGUCAGAGGUGAAAGUCUUGGAUUUAUUGAAGACUAACUACUGCGAAAGCAUUUGCCAAGGAUGUUUUCAUUAAUCAAGAACGAAAGUUAGGGGAUCGAAGACGAUCAGAUACCGUCGUAGUCUUAACCAUAAACUAUGCCGACUAGGGAUCGGAUGAUGUUAAUUUUUUAAUGACUCAUUCGGCGCCUUACG
rnacentral:misc_RNA from 1 species